rnacentral:lncRNA from 1 species
AGCUGACAGAAGGCAAGACUCUAGCGAUGAUUGGCGUGUACUUUGUGUGCCUACUUUUCAUCCAGUUCUUCUGUUUGCUCCUGAUAAAACAUUUCAUGAUAAGAUUUAGAUAUGUUCAUUUGAACCUGACAGAAAAUAAGACUUCUGAGGGUAGAAGCUGCUACAAUCACUAAAAUGUAUAAAUACCAAAAUAUACAAGAACUACUCCCAGUAGAAAUAAAUUUACUGGAAUGUAACUCGAUUGUGAGUCUAGGAGACCAAUGGACCCUGAAGCACUCUUCAGAUCUGCGAUUUAAAAAUGACCUCCAAUAAGACAUUGCAAAAAUGGGAAAGAAACAAUGGAAAAAAAAUGAUAAAACAAUGGAAAAAGAAAAUCCUUGCCUGGCAGUGAGUCUGAAGACAGCUGAUCAAAGGGGAAGAAGUCCAGCCACAGAUGGAAGAGAGAUGACCUGGACAGUGGGCUGCAGUGGGAAGGAAGCCAUGAUUUCAGGACAUGAAAAGUGGAGUCACACGAGGCUCACUGGGUGCUGGUGGGAGGCAGAGGGGUGUACCCUUAAACUGUAAUUGUUUGGUGUAAACAGACUGAAUUUGUGUCCUUCUCCAAAA